UUAUGGAUAACCUAUAUCAAUCUUUACCUUACAGAAGGCUCACAGUUCCUUCAAAAUUCACUCCAGGCUUCUCAGCACACCUUUACAGACAAGAUGCAGUUAAACACAACAGCAUGCCCCAGCGCUGUAAUCAGGUUUGCAGGUUGUGUGUCAAGAAGGGAAAGGCAAAGCCUGUAUUUCUGUGUUUUGGGCAGGGGAGGGAGAGCAGCUCACUAUACACUCAGCGCUUGGUUCCUUUGAUGACUGCAUGAGUACAUACAGGUGCUGCUUUAGGCCACAGUUCUCUCUGAAAUUCUUCCUCCUUCAGGAUCUGACUCUUUUAGGGGGAAUCAAAGGAAAAAAGAAAAGAGGGAACUUACAUGCCAUUGCCACCUAUUAGAAGAGUCAGUGUACCAAGGGGGAACUACUCCCCCUUGAAUUUGUGUUUUGAUCUCAUGACAGGCUCCAAAGACACCACCUUCAUCUACCUCCUGACUAACUGCUGCAGCCCUAAGUGUUUUGCAAGGGCAGAAAGGUGAGGUCUUCUCCAAUUUGUUUUGUGUCUUCUGACAUCAGUGUGGUGUAGGUUCUGCUCUCUCUCAGGCUGCUUUCUCAGGCACAAGCGAGCUGCACAGUUUGUUUAUACUACAGGCUUGUCCAAAGCGGAUAUGCCAGAUGCAAAUCUCUACCAUGAGUCUGCAACAUUCUGAUGCGAGAACAUCCGCUUCCAACACGAGAGCCUGGCAAACCACAUUCCAGAACCAGACCCAGGCUAUCAACUGUGUACCUCUUCACAGCGGCAGUGAAAAUAAUUUCAGACACCCCUAACUCCAGCUAACCUGCAGGGAGAAGUAGAUGGUUCUCAAGGUUACCAGAACGCUAUCAGAUCCACUUGUGCACGUGGUAGGCAAUCCAGCAAGAGGAUGCAGCUGAGCUUUGAGAUGGUUAAAUGGAUGAGAAAUAGUAUCAAGGCUUGAGGGAUCCAAUAUAACUGCAGGUACAACAAAGCCAACUGUAAAAGGACUUUAUUUUUUCCCCUUUAUACUCAGAAUGCAAUAAAGAACUUGAGGGACUCUUCCCAUAUCUCAGAGGUUUCACAGACUGAUUAUUUUUAUGUUAAGACAGAAGUAUAUAAAAGGACUUGAAAUACCAGCAUGGUUUGCCAGAGGAACAUAAUUAUUCCCAAAGCCAAAACUAGAAUAAGAUGUUAUCCCUGUUUGAGUUGUGUGAGCCAGCUGCUGCGCCUUCAGAGGGCACCCAACAUACACUUUGUAUUCUUGCACACUUAGAUUCACGAGCAUGAGAUAUUGUUAAAGAUACCCUUUUAAGUAAAGGCUUAAAAAAAAAAGGUCUACAUCUCUUUAAGAAUUGGAGCUUUUAAAGAAACCACAGAGCAAUCAGCUUUUGAAAGCUCUUCUGUCAUACACAGAGAAUGCCAUGAAUCACUCGUACAUUAGCAGAUGUCAUGUGCAAAUCUCAGCUGCAACACAAGGAGGACAGACCUCAAGCACUUUGGCAUCAAAAAGGCGGCUGCAUUUUAAGCCUGCUGCUGACAGCCAUAACACUGGUAAUUACAAGUCACAGCUUAUAGUGGUGGGAGUGUUGCAGAAAAUACCAGAGCAAUAAAAAUACAGUUCUGCACCUGUUUAAAUGCAUGAGAAAUGUAUUUGAAACUGUCUGGGUCAGCAGGUACACCUGAGGUAUGAGCUAAAGCACGGUUAGCUCCACAUGCACACUGCAAUACCUGCAAAUAAGCAAAUUAAUUCCAUUAUAAGCCAGGCAGGCAAGAGGCUUUGAUUACAACAGUCGAAGCAGUGGUAGAAAUUAAGCCUUUAAAAGACUGUGCUUAAACCUUUAAAUAUAAUGGAAGGCUGUCCCUCACCUUACAGUGCUUGCUGUAAACCAUCUCAGAGCAAAGGGAACAAGGCAGUCCUAAUGUCCACUAUCAUAUCUAACAGUGUCUGCAUCACAAGAAGAUAUGUCUCUACUGAGGAAAGUAAUACACAGGUCUCACUGCAGAUUUAGGCUUUUACCUCUUACCCAAACCUUACAGGCCCCUAAAGAAUUGUGACUACACAACCACUCACUGUCGGCUGAUGUUUCAUCACACCAACAUAACUGACACUGUUGCCAUUUUGGGUCUUCCAUCAAAAAAACCCUCCCAAAAAAUAGCACUAACAGAACUGGGAGAAUGAUCCAAAUUUUGUUUCCCCUUAGUCACACUAAAUUCAUCUAGCUUACUGUUCUCUCGAGGACAUUAAGUAAGGUACUGCAGCUACAUCCACGCUCUUCAUACUCCAUACAUGUUUUCUAGUGUAGCUAUCAUAAUAACUGGAGUCAGUUUAAAAACAGUUGUUUGUUUGCAAGCAAUUUGGACAGGUUUACUUCCAGAUAAAAAGCUUUAAGAGUGCUUUGAAAAAGACAUUUUUCCAGCAGAAGUUAACGUAUAUUGUUCUGAAUUAAACAAUCUGAUACACUGCAAACACCGUUCCUAUCCCCCUUUACAAGAAGCUGUUGAUCUGAACUUUCAUUCAC